rnacentral:rRNA from 1 species
GACGAACGCUGGCGGCGUGCUUAACACAUGCAAGUCGAACGGUGAAGCUCCAGCUUGCUGGAGUGGAUCAGUGGCGAACGGGUGAGUAACACGUGAGCAACCUGCCCCUGACUCUGGAAUAAGCGCUGGAAACGGCGUCUAAUACUGGAUACGAGAAGGGUCCGCAUGGGCACUUUCUGGAAAGUUUUUCGGUUGGGGAUGGACUCGCGGCCUAUCAGCUUGUUGGUGAGGUAAUGGCUCACCAAGGCGACGACGGGUAGCCGGCCUGAGAGGGCGACCGGCCACACUGGGACUGAGAUACGGCCCAGACUCCUACGGGAGGCAGCAGUGGGGAAUAUUGCACAAUGGGCGAAAGCCUGAUGCAGCGACGCCGCGUGAGGGAUGACGGCCUUCGGGUUGUAAACCUCUUUCAGCAGGGAAGAAGCGAAAGUGACGGUACCUGCAGAAGAAGCACCGGCUAACUACGUG